GAAACCAACAGGGAUUGCCUCAGUAACGGCGAGUGAAGCGGCAAAAGCUCAAAUUUGAAAUCUGGCUCCCUUUGGGGGCCCGAGUUGUAAUUUGCAGAGGAUGCUUCGGGUGCGGCCGCGGCGUAAGUCCCUUGGAACAGGGCGUCAUAGAGGGUGAGAAUCCCGUCUUGAGCCGCUGGUCCCGCGCCCGUGUGAAGCUCCUUCGACGAGUCGAGUUGUUUGGGAAUGCAGCUCUAAGUGGGUGGUAAAUUUCAUCUAAAGCUAAAUACUGGUCGGAGACCGAUAGCGCACAAGUAGAGUGAUCGAAAGGUUAAAAGCACCUUGAAAAGGGAGUUAAACAGCACGUGAAAUUGUUGAAAGGGAAGCGCUUGCGGCCAGACUCGGGGGCGGGGGUUCAGAGAGCUCUCGUAGCUCGCGCACUCUCCCGUUUCCCGGGCCAGCAUCAGUUUCGGCGGUCGGUCAAAGGCUCCGGGAAUGUGUCGUCUCUAGGGACGUCUUAUAGCCCGGGGUGCAAUGCGGCCUGCUGGGACUGAGGAACGCGCUUCGGCUCGGAUGCUGGCAUAAUGGCCGUAAGCGGCCCGUCUUGAAACACGGACCAAGGAGUCUAACAUCCACGCGAGUGUUCGGGUGUCAAACCCGUGCGCGAAGUGAAAGCGAACGGAGGUGGGAACCCUUAACGGGGGGCACCAUCGACCGAUCCUGAAGUCUUCGGAUGGAUUUGAGUAGGAGCGUGGCCGUUAGGACCCGAAAGAUGGUGAACUAUGCCUGAAUAGGGUGAAGCCAGAGGAAACUCUGGUGGAGGCUCGCAGCGGUUCUGACGUGCAAAUCGAUCGUCGAAUUUGGGCAUAGGGGCGAAAGACUAAUCGAACCAUCUAGUAGCUGGUUCCUGCCGAAGUUUCCCUCAGGAUAGCAAUAACGAUAUUCCAGUUUUAUGAGGUAAAGCGAAUGAUUA
rnacentral:rRNA from 1 species